GCACUCUUAGCUCAGUUGGUUAGAGCGUCCCAUUCACAUUGGGAAGGUCGGAGGUUCGAAUCCUCCAGAGUGCA
rnacentral:tRNA from 1 species